rnacentral:rRNA from 1 species
UGAGGAAUAUUGGUCAAUGGACGCAAGUCUGAACCAGCCAAGUAGCGUGCAGGAUGACGGCCCUAUGGGUUGUAAACUGCUUUUAUAUGGGGAUAAAGUGGGGAACGUGUUCCCUUUUGCAGGUACCAUAUGAAUAAGGACCGGCUAAUUCCGUGCCAGCAGCCGCGGUAAUACGGAAGGUUCGGGCGUUAUCCGGAUUUAUUGGUUUUAAAGGGAGCGUAGGCCGUUUGGUAAGCGUGUUGUGAAAUGUAGGAGCUCAACUUCUAGAUUGCAGCGCGAACUGUCAGACUUGAGUGCGCACAACGUAGGCGGAAUUCAUGGUGUAGCGGUGAAAUGCUUAGAUAUCAUGACGAACUCCGAUUGCGAAGGCAGCUUACGGGAGCGCAACUGACGCUAAAGCUCGAAGGUGCGGGUAUCGAACAGG